rnacentral:rRNA from 1 species
GUGGGGAAUUUUGGACAAUGGGGGCAACCCUGAUCCAGCAAUGCCGCGUGCAGGAAGAAGGCCUUCGGGUUGUAAACUGCUUUUGUACGGAACGAAAAGGCUCUGGUUAAUACCUGGGGCACAUGACGGUACCGUAAGAAUAAGCACCGGCUAACUACGUGCCAGCAGCCGCGGUAAUACGUAGGGUGCAAGCGUUAAUCGGAAUUACUGGGCGUAAAGCGUGCGCAGGCGGUGCUGUAAGACAGGCGUGAAAUCCCCGGGCUUAACCUGGGAAUGGCGCUUGUGACUGCAAGGCUGGAGUGCGGCAGAGGGGGAUGGAAUUCCGCGUGUAGCAGUGAAAUGCGUAGAUAUGCGGAGGAACACCGAUGGCGAAGGCAAUCCCCUGGGCCUGCACUGACGCUCAUGCACGAAAGCGUGGGGAGCAAACAGGAUUAGAAACCCCUGUAGUCC